AGAGUUUGAUUCUGGCUCAGGACGAACGCUGGCGGCGUGCUUAACACAUGCAAGUCGAACGAUGAAGCCUAGCUUGCUAGGUGGAUUAGUGGCGAACGGGUGAGUAAUACGUGAGUGACCUACCUUUGACUCUGGGAUAAGCCUGGGAAACUGGGUCUAAUACCGGAUACGACCAAUCUCCGCAUGGGGUGUUGGUGGAAAGCGUUAUGGAGUGGUUUUAGAUGGGCUCACGGCCUAUCAGCUUGUUGGUGAGGUAAUGGCUUACCAAGGCGACGACGGGUAGCCGGCCUGAGAGGGUGACCGGCCACACUGGGACUGAGACACGGCCCAGACUCCUACGGGAGGCAGCAGUGGGGAAUAUUGCACAAUGGGCGCAAGCCUGAUGCAGCGACGCCGCGUGAGGGAUGACGGCCUUCGGGUUGUAAACCUCUGUUAGCAGGGAAGAAGAGAGAUUGACGGUACCUGCAGAGAAAGCGCCGGCUAACUACGUGCCAGCAGCCGCGGUAAUACGUAGGGCGCGAGCGUUGUCCGGAAUUAUUGGGCGUAAAGAGCUUGUAGGCGGUUGGUCGCGUCUGCUGUGAAAGGCUGGGGCUUAACCCUGGUUUUGCAGUGGGUACGGGCUAACUAGAGUGCAGUAGGGGAGACUGGAAUUCCUGGUGUAGCGGUGGAAUGCGCAGAUAUCAGGAGGAACACCGAUGGCGAAGGCAGGUCUCUGGGCUGUAACUGACGCUGAGAAGCGAAAGCAUGGGGAGCGAACAGGAUUAGAUACCCUGGUAGUCCAUGCCGUAAACGUUGGGCACUAGGUGUGGGGGACAUUCCACGUUUUCCGCGCCGUAGCUAACGCAUUAAGUGCCCCGCCUGGGGAGUACGGCCGCAAGGCUAAAACUCAAAGAAAUUGACGGGGGCCCGCACAAGCGGCGGAGCAUGCGGAUUAAUUCGAUGCAACGCGAAGAACCUUACCAAGGCUUGACAUAUACUGGACUGCGUCAGAGAUGGCGUUUCCCUUCGGGGCUGGUAUACAGGUGGUGCAUGGUUGUCGUCAGCUCGUGUCGUGAGAUGUUGGGUUAAGU
rnacentral:rRNA from 1 species